AGAACGUAUAUAGGAUAAUUGGAUUUGCACAUAUGAGAUUGGCACAACCAUGGACAAUCCGUAGACCUGCAUGGCCUGGCCCGCGCGGCUUUGAUCAAAACAGGCUUGGUAAAAAGAGCUCAUUUUCAAAAAUAUCCUUAAUUCUCUUGUUCAAAUUCGAAAAGUAUCACCAGCCGUCCGUGAUAUUUGAUCCGUUUUUACAGUAUUGUGAGCAGUUUAUUUUUUAAUGGUCAAAGGGAGGCGUUGAAUUGCUGCAUCUCCUGCUUUAUCUAUAUAUGGUUGUGCCUCUAUGAGUACUUCCCCACCAGCACAAUCAAACUCUGCUAGUGCCAAGGAGAUUCGUAUGCUGUGGACUCGGCUUGACGAGCAGGAGAGGUUGUUGUCAGAGCUUAGAGCGCAUAUGAUGUAGAUGUCUGAAAGACCUGCAACGUCUACUUUUGUACAUCCUCCUUCAUCGAAUCCAUCGACUCCAUCAGCUGCAGUUGCACUAGAUCCUACUUCUUGUGCAUUGCCUACGCUUUCUCCAUCACCUGUCAUACAUCCAACCAGCAUUGCAGCACCUGCUUUUGACCCUACAACGGCUCCUAUUGACACUGCAGUGCCUCCUACCGACACUACAACUCCUCGUACAGAGACAUUUGGGUUACAGACUCGUAGAUUUGAUUAUAGAUUUUUUAAAGAUUUUUUUACUGAUAAAUACUACAUUUACAUUUUUUAUUUUUUGGCAAAUUUUGGAAUUAAUAUGAGAUUCUAAACGUUGUGAUUUGUGUGUGUA